UGUCAUUUACAUCCUCGUCCCUGGCGGGUCACAUGACAAUCAAAUACACAUCCUAGAUCAAAGUCGAACCUUACACGAUGUUCAAAACGAAGCUAGGAGCUAACGAAACCGUCUCGGGGACAAAAGUAUACAUACUGACUGGCCGCUUGAGAAUGAGUAUCAGAUGUUUUGGUGAUGGCAGAAGCGCGUGAAGUGUGCCAAACAUGUUCAGAGAUAAAAGACAAACGGCAAAGAAUCCUCUCAUGUGAAAGUACAUUCCUGUUCCUUCAUGCAAAUUCGUCAUUUAUCAACCUUCCAAAUACAGAUGAAGACAGGAAUUCAGUGACGGAAAGGCGUAAGGAUUUCGUUUGGAAGUUAAAGAAGUGCGUAUCAGCUUUACGAAACUCUGGUGGGGGUGCUGUAAUUGUUCAUAUUCAUGACCUUGACUUUAAUGAUAAUUACCUUGACCACUUCAACGAACUAGUUGAUGUUAAACUCAAUUCACUUAUUGAAGAUGGAAGUCUAUUUGUUCAAGUGUAUCGGAAGAACUGGUUACACACUCUCGCUGACAAUACCACUGACGAAGAAGAGUUUGAAGAAGAUCCUGAUGAUGAACCUGAAGAAGCUGGAAUUGAUUAUAACGCUCUCUUCAAGAGUGUAGUUGGAGUGACAGUAACACCUUCAUUUACAGUUGUGACAGUAGACUUCAACACAAAGGUCCCUCUUGAUAACAGUGUUGAGGAUCCUACAAACACAGAACUUCAGACGUUUCUCACCAGGAAGAUUCCUUUUCACAACACCAGUACAAGAAUUCGUGGUUUGGAUUGCCUACAAGAGACUCGAGGCAUCCAAGUGAAGCGCUUUAAGGUCACAGACAGAGAUCUGAAAGAGGAGCUUCUAAAUGACCCACACAGAUUUGCAAAUUACAUUUGGACACAAUGUAAAUUAAGAUAUUAUAUCAGCGCAUUCUCCAAGGUUGAAGGGGGUGGGUCAUUCUAUCUUGGAGUUCUUGAGGAGGACAUUACAUAUAGAUCAUACAAGUCUCACCGAUAUCAAAAGGAGGGAUUCGACAUUUCACUUGACAAGCAUGAUUUGCUUAAAGCACAAAUAAAAGAACAAAUAAGGAACGAAACACUUGUGCUUCCUUAUGACAAUAACGCUGUUGUCAGCAACCUAUCUCCAGAUUUAAUUAAGAUAGAAUUUCAUCCAUUGGGGGAGUUGUUUAUAUUAGAAGUUGCAGCACCUGCUGUAAAUGGACUUGUAUUCCAUGACAGAAAAGGACCAGAAGCAUAUGAACUAGAUGACUGCAAUUCGGAGAGGAGACUACCAGUUGUGGAGUGGCGUGAUCGAUUGCUAAGAUAAAGCAAACAUGACUUCUUCAAAACAAAGACAUCUUGAGAUUAAGGAGCCUGUUCCAAAAGAGCCAAUUCAUGAAGUGGAGAUCACGUCCUUCGCUCGUCACCCUCCCCAUGUAAGGCAGAUAAGGCAAUCUAUUGAUGACAUAGAGCACCACGUACUGAAUGCAGGUGGUAUGUGUGUAUACCCAACGCAUGGCGAUCCGAAUGACGAUACUGGGAUCUGUAGAUUAGUUCUAGAGAGAGUAAAAAGCGGUUUAUUCAGGUCUGGUGUGGCUUACACAGCAAAACGAAUGAACGUGUCUGCAAAUAUAGAUGCAGAACCAAGGCCUACUGAAGCACUCUAUGACGCGAUACUCUUUGUCCCAGAUGAACCACCAACUGUAUUUACAGUUAUCUGUGACAAAAUAACCAGAAGGAAACACUCUGAAGCGCUGCAGUACAACCAAUCUAUCGCUAAAGGCAUAGUAGCAGCGGUUCGGAAGUACACAGAUGAACAGUUCAGUGUCGUCUUUGGUCUGUUGCGAGAAGCCGAACUAUCAGAUGAUGUCAGGUUCAAAAAGGCCAUCGAUAGAAUACAUGCAAAAACGUCUCAAUUAGCUGUUCCCCUGGCACUUAGCAUGUUUGAAAAGAAAUUCAGAAAGGUCCUUCGAGCAUUUCUGCUAUCGCUUGCUGUGACUGACUGUGUUCGCAGGACGGACGCAGAGAAUUCGUUAUGGGUUCUUACCACGGAGCAGUUCCGUGUGCUUACUGAAAAUAUUGAUCAUAAACACGUGACAGUGAAUACAAGGCCAUCCUGUGGAGGAACUGUUUUGUUACUUGAAGUCGCUAAAAGAUUACAAAGGUCUGGUCCCACAAUGAUUGUGACAAAGUCGGAUGUCUUAGCAGAACAAGCCAGGACACAAUCAGUUUGUGAAUAUGUUUUCAAUGCUGAUCAAUUCCGAACAGAAGCUACCUGUCGAAAGCCAGACAUAGUCAAUGUGGUGGCAGACUGUGAAGUGACUAACUGUCUUGAAGACCAGAGUCGAAAAGGAAUGACCUGGCACUUCAUCCAAAAACCUCUGCCAGGUAGGACAAUAUAUGUGUGUAGUGUUAUGGGUAGCAAUAAAUAGUUACCCUCUUUGUCCACUUUAUGUUAUUUGAAAAUAUAGUAUCUAAUCAGGAUGUGGUAUCAUUACGUUAUUUUCAGACUAGCUUAUGAACAGACUGCCAACAUAGAGCUGGAAUAUUUUGUGCCGUUAAACAGAAAACACAUA
rnacentral:misc_RNA from 1 species